rnacentral:rRNA from 1 species
UACGUAGGGUCCGAGCGUUUGUCCGGAAUUAUUGGGCGUAAAGAGCUCGUAGGCGGUCUGUCGCGUCGGCUGUGAAAUCCCGAGGCUCAACCUCGGGUCUGCAGUCGAUACGGGCAAACUGGAGUGUUGCAGGGGAGACUGGAAUUCCUGGUGUAGCGGUGAAAUGCGCAGAUAUCAGGAGGAACACCGGUGGCGAAGGCGGGUCUCUGGGCAACAACUGACGCUGAGGAGCGAAAGCGUGGGGAGCGAACAGG